AAUGGUGAGAGCUGACAGCCAUGCCGCGUGCAGGAGACGGCCUUCUGGGUUGUAAACUGCUUUUAUCUGGGGAUAAAAAGCCCAUGCGUGGGACAUUGAAGGUACCAGAUGAAUAAGCACCGGCUAACUACGUGCCAGCAGCCGCGGUAAUA
rnacentral:rRNA from 1 species